ACAAUCUCGCCUCAAAUAUCUUUAUUAACCCUACAAAUAAGAAGACCAAGAGAGUCGAAGCAACCAUCGUUGGAUUUCUCCCCUUCUUCCUCUAAACAUUUCCGACCUUAUAAUUGCUCUUCCUACUCUUUUUCUUUCAUUCCAUCUACAUGCACUAACCCUAUAUCAAUGAAUCUAUUUAUAUGUCAAUAGAGAAACACAACAAUUUCUAGUGUUUCAACCACACGUUUGAAACGAUUCAAUCUACCAUGGCCAAAAGUUUGAGCUUGAUUCAUUUUCCAAGAAUAAAGCCACAAUUUUGCAAGAAUAAAGCCAACGCCAAGGAUAGGGGUCAAUGUUGAUCACCAGAGGUUUAAUUGGAGUUAUGGGUGGUUUCGUCUACACCAAUAUCUGAUGGUAUCUUCUCCGACGAUGGUGAUUUUACAAUCUAGGGUUUUCUUUUAUCUUAUAAAACCAACCUGAAUCGGUGAUUUUUACAUAUGUGGGUUUGUCCAACCACAUGUAUAUCCUGCUUUUAUUGGUGGUAAAGUGACUUGGGAAUGUAUGUUUGAAGUACAUUCCUCACAUCUUCACUAUGCAUCUUGUUUUAUAAAUUUCAUCCUUUUUUUAUCUGAUAAUACAGUAACGCCUCUUAUUGCUCUUAUUGUUAUUUCUUAAGACAUAGAAUUAAACAUGAAAUUGGUCUAAUGGUUUGCUUUAUUUUUAUAACACAUUAUAAUUAUGUUUACAUUAUUUUAAUGUAAAAUCCAAUUAUUAAAAAGGAUGUUGUGAUUUUUCAGGUUGACGUCUUCAUCCAAGAAGUUUCAAUAUGAGAAAUUAAAAAUCCUCAAUAUCUCAGUUAUAGCGUCAAAUCUUGGCAAUAAGAAUCUACUAAGAAGUAGACGAUUUCUUCCAUGACAUUCUAGUCUACUUCCAUCUUAAGUAAGUAAAUGAUCUUCUAUCUUUGUUAUAAUCCAUUCAUAUUGAAGAUAGUGGAGUGUAUGUGUGAAACACAUAGUAAUAUAGUUAAUCAUAUUUUUUUUAGUUAAUCGUGUUUUCUGUAAUAACCCAUUCAAUUAUUAAUAGAAUUUUAAUCGGAUAAUGACUGCAUGUUUGUAACUGUAACCUAAAGGUGAAUUCAAGAUGUCAAUGUAUUCUUGAGGGAUGUUAAAUGCAUAUGUACACUAAACAUCAAAAUAAUAAUUUAACAAAGGUAAAAAUACAAAUGUAAUUUUUUUUACGGUGGAUUCAGUGGCGAAUCCCUUUGGGGGCAAGGGGAGGCCAUAGCCCUUUUGUUUUUUUUUUUAUCUGCUAAUACUUGCUUAGUAAUCUACAAAUCUAAAUUGCCCAUUAAAUUUUUCAAAAAAGAAAGGUUCCAUACAAAAUUGAACAGAAAAUGAUACUUAAAUAAAAUAACUUGAAUUUUUUAGAAUAACUAAAUCUCCUACUUAAAAGGAAAAGAUAUCUACCAAAAUUAAAUUUAAAAUUUGAAGUAUUUAACAUGAACAAAAAAACGAAAAGGUAUCGAUAAUAAAACUGAAACUAUGACCCUUGAACAUCUUCAUCGGCGCCUCUCUUCUCGUCCUCUUCAUGACUAUGGAAUUCUUCUCCUGUAUCAUGUAUCAUCUUCUUCCUAAGUCAGUAAAUGUUGCCACCAUUGAGACUCUCAACCUCUCCGAACUUUAAGACUUCGACCGUCUAAGCACCUACAUGAUUUGAUUUACCUCUACAUCCUUGUUACUUGUAAGUCCACACCAGAGUUGUUCUUUCCCUUAUUGUCUUCUGUCUUAUUCGAUUUUUUAUGAAGAGAUUUCUUUAGAUAUAAUGGUAUAAAGAAGAGUAUAAUUGAGUAAAAUACAUUGUGCCCAUUGAUACGUGUCUAUAUAAUAUGACUACAACACUAUAGUUUUUGAAUAUUUUUACUAGACUAGAUGCCUAGAUCAUUAAUAAGUUACACCCUUAAAAAAUAGGUUUUGACUUUUAGGCCUAAUGCUAGAAUUUGAUAUAGAUGGCUUUCAUUGUUCUUUUUUACGUUUGCUUUAUUGUUUAGUUGUCUAGUUAGGGUUUAGGAUAUAAAUAAAAUUAUUAUUAAAAAUAAACAAAAAUAUUAAGGUUUUAUGAAAAUCCAAAAAAUAAUUUAGAUCAAACUUUAUUGGNUGUGUGUGUGUAUAUAUAUAUAUAUAUAUAUAUAUAUAUAUAUAUAUAUAAUUUUGAUUUGUAAUUUUGUUUCGGCCCCCUUAAUAAAUGGUUGUCUUCCGCCCCUGGGUGGGAUUUUUAGUACAUGUGAAUAUCAACCAAUGAAAAUUAAUCACUUAAUUUUUUAUGGACCUGGAGUACGUGUGGAAUUAUCCUAAUAUGGAACUGUACAUGAACUACAGGUACCAUUUAUCUCUAUUUUAAUCUUUUAGUAUUUUUACCUGUAAAUAAAAUUUGUGGAGAUUUCAAUACGAAAAUGUAGCAAGGGCCGUAAGAUAUCAUUGAUUUAAUCAUGUAAAGAAAUGGAAAAAUAAAUUUUUAUAAAUAAUUUUAUCUUACUUUGUAUCCCAUGUAAGAUGCAUAUUUUUUUUAUCUUAUAAUGCAGAAUAGAUAACUUAUUCUUGAGCAGACAUUUGAUUUUUGUAACCAUGUGGGUCUACCAACCAAAUAUACAAAUAUGGAUUUUGACCCCACUUUAUCAUCCUACUUCCAUCAGUUGAUUUUCCUAUUUUAGACAAAAGUGUAAAAAUGAUUACGUGGUUUUUUAUUUUAUAUGGUUAUGGUCCAAAUGUUUGAAAAGUUGUAAAUUGGGUCAUUUUCAACAAGUUUUAUUCUGGUUUUGGUCCCUAAUCCGUUAACUUUAACUGGUUGGCUGUUAACUUUUUUAAAAUGACAAUUUUAUUCUCAUGGACCAUUUUCGCAGUUUUGUCUUUUACCAUACUAUAAGAAUCAUUUUUGCAGACAUUCUUUUUUAUUUUAUUGAAGUAUUAUAUAUUAAUAAAUAUUGUUUUUUUGGAUUAUUAAUUUAUUUUAGUUGAUUUUUUUAAUUUUUUUUUGUUAGAGUAAUUCUUUUUAUUAAGUUAUUAUAUAUCAAUACAUAUAGUUUUUAAUAUAUAAUAUUUAUAUCAUUAAAUUCUUUUAGUUAAUAUUUUUAAUUCCUUUUUUAAAACUAUUUUUUUAUUGAAUUAUUACUUUUAAUUUAUUAUUUUCUUUAUAUACCAAAUAUUGUUUUAUUGGAUUAUUAAUUUAUUUUAGUUAAUUCUUCUUUUAAAAAAAACUUUGUCGAAAAAAUUCUUUUUUCUUGAAUUAUAUAUCAAUACAUAUAGUUUUUAAUAUAUAAUAUUUAUAUCACAAUAAAUAUUAUAUUAUUAGGUUAUUAUUUCCUUUUAGUUAGUUUUUGUAAUUUCUUAUUUUUAAACUAUUUUUUAUUGGAUUAUUACUUUUAAUUUAUUAUUUUCUUCCUAUACUAAAUAUUAUUUUAUUGGAUUAUUAACUUAUUUUUAAUUUAUAAUAAUUGUUCUUGUUAAUUUUAUUGGUUCCACCAUAAAGUCGUGAGAUACGCAAAAUCAUCGUCUCUCAUCAUCAAAAACAUUAGGAUCACUGCCAAACAUCUUCAUUUCAUGUAGAUGAUAAUGAGAAACCGUAGGGAAAAUACCACCACCAUCUUUCAGUCACCACUACCACUUAUAAUUGUUAUAGGGGUUUGUUGCGCAUUACGGGGGAUAUUGUGAGAAUAAAGAUACGAUGCGCAGGGAAAAUGUUCAAAAACUCAAACCUUGAGUUAAUGCUUAAGAUCAAUGUUUGCUUCUGAUUAAGUGUUCCUGUCAAGUCUGGCAGGUGCAGUCGAGACUGAAUAGAGAAAUCAACAAAGUACUUCAAGUAUUAAAUAAGGAACUAUGAGUAUAAUCAAGGUAAAGACAAUAAAUGAAUUUUCGAAAGAAUUUGAUUUGAGAGAAAAGUGAAAGUGAAGUAAAUUCAAAUAUAACUAUCUUUGGAGCAACAAACCAUCAUUUAUUCUUGUCAUUAAACACUCCUUAUAUAGCAAAAGGAGAUACAACUUACAGACCGAAGUGUAUACAAAGGACUGGAUAAACAAGUUACUUCUGACGCUCUGAUUAUCCCAAUUGACAAAAAGACUAAGGUGUUAUUUGCUUUUUCGAAUAGAAAUUGUUUGAAGUCUGCGGACCACCUCUUCAAUCAUCUGUAGCAGAAGAGGUGGAACAAACGGCUGCAGCAUGUAAUAAAAAAUAUGUUUGUUUUUUAACGUCUACAGACAGUAAGUUAAACUAAGGCGUGAAGAGGUUUGAAGCAGUUGGUUUAGUGCUGCCCCACGCAGCACACGCACAACAGUUUUUAAGUCAGAAGUCUUCUGAAAAACAAACAGCUGCGAAUGGCCAAGUGUUGCGCGUGUGCUGCGCGGCGCAGCAAUAAGUGGUUUGAAGUGGUUUUUUUUUUAAAAAACAAAUAGCACCUAAGUCCUAUAUAAGGUUACAUCAAGUAAAAGACAAGAAUAAUUAAUGAACAGACGGAUACACUAUCUCGGAACAUCUCUUCAUCUCGUACCACGAACUCCACUUCGGACUUCAACCACCAUUUCGUACCCUAACCAUUUUGGACAUAAGUAUGACUUUAGAGCAACAGAAGUUAGAGAUUGCUAGACGUUCACUUUCACGUUUCAACAAAUAUGAAGGAUUCUAGUGGAUUAUGAAGAGGUUGUCGCAGGUGGCUACCAACAACGCUGGAUGGAACAGGGUAAGGUAUCUAUUGAACCUCUGAUGAAGGUUUUUGGAGGUGAUCCUGCCUAUUUUUGACGAUGAUAAGCGACACUUUUAGGUAUUUCGGCGACUUAAUGGUGAGACUAAUAAAAUUAAAAAGAACUAAUAGUAUACAUUAAAAAUAUAAUAAUAAUCCAAUAAGAUAAUAUUUAUUAUAUUAAAAAAAUAAUAAAUUAAAAGUAAUAAUUCAAUAAAUUAAUAAUUCAAAAAUACAAAAACGAAAUUACAAAAAAUAAUAAUCCAAUAAUGUAUUAUUUAUUAUGAUAUAAACAUUAUAUAUUAAAAAUAAUAUUUAUUGAUAUAUAAUAAUCUAAUAAAAAAGAAUUGAUCCAACAAAAAAGAAAUUAUAAAAAUAAUCGACUAAAGGAAAUUAAUAAUCCAAUAAAAUAAUGUUUUGUAAUAUAUAAUAAUCUCAUAACAUAAUAUUUAUUAUUAUAUAAAUAUUAUAUAUUAAAAACGAUAUGUACCGAUAUAUAAUAAUUCAAUAGAAAAUGAUUACUUAGACAAAAAAAAAUAGAAUUAACUAAAAUAAAUUAAUAAUCCAAUAAAAAAAUAUUUAGUAUAUGAAGAAAAUAAUAAAUGAAAAGUAAUAAUCCAAUAAAAAAUAAUUAAAAAAACGAAUUACAAAAAUUAACUAAAAAAUUAAUAAUUCAAUAGUAUAAUAUUUAUUACAAUAUAAAUAUUAUAUAUUAAAAACUAUAUGUAUUGAUAUAUAAUAAUUCAAUAAAAAAGAAUUACUUCAACAAAAAAAAUUAAAAAAUCAACUAAAAUAAAUUAAUAAUCCAAUAAAAACAAUAUUUAUUAAUAUAUAAUAUUAUAUAAUAAAAAUAAUAUCUAUUAAUAUAUAAUAGUUUAAUAAAAUAAAAAAGAAUGUAUAUAAAAAUGGUCCUUAUAGUAUGGUAAAAGACAAAACUGUGAAAAUGGUCCCUAGGGGUAAAAUUAUCAUUUUAAGGAAGUUUUUUUUUUAAAAGAGAAGUCAUUUUAAGGAAGUUAACAGCCAACCAGUUAAACUUAACAGAUGAGGGACCAAAAUCACAACAAAACUUGUUGAAAAUGACCAAAUCUGCAACUUUUCAAACGUUUGGACCGUAACCACAUAAAAUAAAAAACCACAGGGACCAUUUUUGCAGUGUUGUCCCUAUUUUAUCAUAGACAUUAAUAGCCACUUUGUCUUCUUCAAGUGACUCUUUAAGAGAAGGCAAUAGGAGAUGAGGUCAACAAAACCAUUCUGGCAAAACACUUACCUGUUGAAAAACUAAUUGAACAAACUCACAUCCUUUUGCUGCUGGAAUUUUGAGAUAAACUAUUUCAUGAAAUUUCAGUAAAAUCAACCUCAAUUCCUCCUAUGCAACACCAAUUAAUGAAGAAGAAAUUGUAACUAAAUGGUAACUUCUGCAAUUUCUGAACAAUGAUAUCAUUACAGGCCACGAGAGUCAAGAUAAGUGAAAGAAUGAAUAUGUUAUAAUGGACUAGCAACGAUAUUC
rnacentral:lncRNA from 1 species